UACGGAGGGUGCAAGCGUUAAUCGGAAUUACUGGGCGUAAAGCGCACGCAGGCGGUCUGUCAAGUCGGAUGUGAAAUCCCCGGGCUCAACCUGGGAACUGCAUCCGAAACUGGCAGGCUAGAGUCUUGUAGAGGGGGGGAGAAUUCCGCGUGUAGUGGUGAAAUGCGUAGAGAUGCGGAGGAAUACCAGAGGCGAAGGCGGCCCCCUGGACAAAGACUGACGCUCAGGUGCGAAAGCGUGGGGAGCAAACAGG
rnacentral:misc_RNA from 1 species